rnacentral:rRNA from 1 species
AUUGAACGCUGGCGGCAUGCUUUACACAUGCAAGUCGAACGGUAACAGGCCUUCGGGUGCUGACGAGUGGCGCACGGGUGAGUAAUGCAUCGGAACGUACCCAGAGGUGGGGGAUAACGCAGCGAAAGCUGUGCUAAUACCGCAUGUGGUCUGAGGAUGAAAGCGGGGGACCGAGCAGCAAUGUUUGGCCUCGCGCCUUUGGAGCGGCCGAUGUCGGAUUAGCUAGUUGGUGGGGUAAAGGCCUACCAAGGCGACGAUCCGUAGCUGGUCUGAGAGGACGACCAGCCACACUGGGACUGAGACACGGCCCAGACUCCUACGGGAGGCAGCAGUGGGGAAUUUUGGACAAUGGGCGCAAGCCUGAUCCAGCAAUGCCGCGUGCGGGAAGAAGGCCUUCGGGUUGUAAACCGCUUUUGGCAGGAACGAAACGGUGUCCGCUAAUACCGGGCGCUAAUGACGGUACCUGCAGAAUAAGCACCGGCUAACUACGUG